rfam:Sclerotinia borealis F-4128 unplaced genomic scaffold scaffold00046, whole genome shotgun sequence.
GGCCUGCUGGCCCAAUGGUAAGGCGCUUGACUACGAAUCAAGAGAUUGCAGGUUCGAGCCCUGCGUAGGUCA